rnacentral:rRNA from 1 species
GAUGAACGCUGGCGGCGUGCCUAAUACAUGCAAGUCGAGCGAACGGACGAGAAGCUUGCUUCUCUGAUGUUAGCGGCGGACGGGUGAGUAACACGUGGAUAACCUACCUAUAAGACUGGGAUAACUUCGGGAAACCGGAGCUAAUACCGGAUAAUAUUUUGAACCGCAUGGUUCAAAAGUGAAAGACGGUCUUGCUGUCACUUAUAGAUGGAUCCGCGCUGCAUUAGCUAGUUGGUAAGGUAACGGCUUACCAAGGCAACGAUUAAUAGCCGACCUGAGAGGGUGAUCGGCCACACUGGAACUGAGACACGGUCCAGACUCCUACGGGAGGCAGCAGUAGGGAAUCUUCCGCAAUGGGCGAAAGCCUGACGGAGCAACGCCGCGUGAGUGAUGAAGGUCUUGGGAUCGUAAAACUCUGUUAUUAGGGAAGAACAUAUGUGUAAGUAACUGUGCACAUCUUGACGGUACCUAAUCAGAAAGCCACGGCUAACUACGUG